UUUUCUCCUCUCUUUCAGGACAGGAAAAACCACUUAACUCAUUCCAUCUUUGCCCAGAGCUUUGGAGUUUGAGCAGCCAAACCCAACGGGCUCCAGCUGCACUGGAGGGUCCCUGGUCCUGCCGUGGUGUGGGAUGCUGGAAUUGCCUCUGUGGAUGUGCACUGAGCUCUCAUGCAGGGAACUGCCAGGCCUUAAUGGUGGGCACCUCCGAGGGCCUUGCUUGGGAUGGAAUUUCUGUGAGGGGAAUUCCCUUGGCUUUCAGGCUGCUGCUGGAGGAUGUCCCCAGGCUGGAAGGGAAGGGACUGGAGUGGCCGGGACACCCCUGGUGGCUGUGUGGGAGCUCCAGGAGGUGGC